CAAAGAAGGACGAAGCUGUUGGCAGUGGAAGAAGAUUUAUCUGGGUGUUGCUCUGCUCUGUGGAAGGGCCACUAAAAGGGGACAGUGCUGCAAGAAAACCAUUCAAGUCAGAUGAACAAGGAAAUUAAUUAGCAACUCAGGUGAACAGCUGCUCUUGAGAAAAUGGGUGCUAAGAUUGGCAGGAAGAGAGAAGAACCACCAAAGCAGGUCAGCCAAAGGAAGAUUCCCCGUCCUGCUGUGCCCCUGAAUGCGCAUUUGCUGACCAUACCUGAAAUGGACUAUGGAUGAGCUCUGGCUGCCUCUGCUGACCGCCUGUUGGAUGGAAUGUCAGUGUCAAGGAAAAAGGAUUGUGUCCUUGGUUCCUGCCCCUUCUCACGAAAUAAAGGUCACCUGGAGAUUCCUUUCA